CCCAGCCGAGGGGGCGCUUGGGAUUUCCGCGGCCGCGCCCUCGGACUUGGCCUAGCAGCUCCUAGGUUUUUGUGCGGUGUCGCGGACGUCGCAAACGCCCGCCUGGCGGUCUCCGCCGCCGAGAGCCUGGCCUCGAACCCGCCCCCCACCAUCACCCUGGCUCACAAGCCAAGGGACCCUUCAUCCAGAGACAGGAAGCCGGGAGCUGGCCCCGGGCCGCUGGAGAAAGUGCCCUUCAGUCUUCCACUUUAAAUCAGAGAAAAAAUAGUGCCUCAAACCAGCCUCCUGCCCCGUCCCUCUGCCCUCAUUGACCACCCUGGCUGCCAAGAGGCCUGCGAAUGGGAGCGUGUGCUUUUCCUGAGCUGCAGUGGGAGGCGGACAGAGGAGCAAUGGCUGUUUCCGCCAUUGCUUCCGCAGUUCCUUCUGCCGGAGACGCUGGUCUCGGCCUGUAGUAGGCCUGAGCGAGGGAGUGUGUUCCGUGAGAUGCAGCUUAGUUCUCUUCCAAGCGCGCGGGCCUACCUUACAGGCGCUCACCGACAGGCAGGGAACGGACCACCAGAACGAAACCCUCUGGGCUCCCCUGGAAUAGCCCGCUCGCUCUCACUCCAUCCCGGGGACUCGCCCAGCGGCUUAGGAGUCCUCUGAGAGUGUUGGGAAGUGCAUGUCCCUGAGCGCCUCAGCCAGACGGCCGCUGGCAUACAUGAACACGGGUGUCUUCAAAAAGUUAGUGGAAAAUAAAUGUUAUGAAAAAACGUAUCAAACUUGUACCAAAACAAACAUCUUUUAAUUCCAUUUUCCAUCAGCUUUUGAAGUACCUGUGUGUGUGGAGAGGAAGAGAGACACUGACUCAGAUAUCCAGGCUGGGCAGCCUUGGGCAAGUUUUUUGAAUGCUAAAUUGGUUUCUGUAGAACAGAAAUAAGAGAACCAGGCCGCCUCACUGGGUUGUUUUCAGAGAUCAGACAGACGUCAGAACAGGGUGUGUGAAGCUCUCAAACAUUGUCCAGAUGCAAGGGGCUGCUCUCCCCACUCAGGGGCUUGCCGGAAGCUAAGGAACAUUUUUCUUCCCACACUUAGCUAGAAGCUCUUCGAGGGCAAAGGUCCAGACCAAGGAUCCUUUUUUUUUUCUUUUCUUUUUUAAAGAUUUUAUUUAUUUGAAAGAGAGAGAGAGAGAGAGGUCUUCCAUCCACUGGUUCACUCCCCAAAUAGCUGUUGAGGCUGGGCCAGGCCGGAGCCAGGAGCCAGGAGCUACUUCCGGGUCUCCCACCUGGGUGCAGAGACCCAAGCACUUGGGCCACCUUCCUCUGCUUUUCACAGGUGCAUCGGCAGGGACCUGGGCCAGAAGUGCAGCAGCUGGGACUUGAACUGGUGCCCAUGUGGGAUGCCGGCACAGGCAGCAACUUUACCUGCUAUGCCAUACCAGCUACCACACCAGCCCCGGCCCAAGGAUCUUAUAAUGCUGAACUGAUCACAGGACUCAUUUAAUUCACAGCCACUGAGUCUAAGAAGAUUGAGGACAAAUGUUCUUUCCACCCCUCCAGAACCAUGAGAGUGAUGAGAAUGAUGAUUCUGGGCUCAGAUGUGGGUCCAAGCCCUGGCUCCACUACGUACUGGAUUGUGUAGUUGAAUCGUUCAUCUAUUGAAUGAGAAUGGCAAUGGCACCAGAUCACUUGGAUUGGCAAAGCUAAGUGAGCCUGUCUAAACACUAGGUCACGCUAUGUGCUCUGUGUUAGCUGUUGCUGUUACAAGUUGCAGAUCCUUAGAAGACUGAGAAGGACUUGAGUGGGAUGAGGAGGCCUGGAAGACCAGAGAGCUGGCUUUAAACCGCACCAGUCGUGUCAGCUGGCUGGGCUACCUUGGACGAAAUCAUCAUAGCUGGUACUGCUGACCUCUCACUAUUACGCAAUCUCCUGUUACCCUAACGGUGCCACUUGACAGGUUUGUGGGAAUUUUCUGUCCACCAGCAAAAGAAGUUGACACAAUUUAUCAGAGGACUAGGAGCUGGCUCAGGAACGAGGUUGAGAAGGCGCAGAGACCAGGCUGACUUCCGAGAGCCAGGGAGAGGCCGGAAUCCACACACUCUCCUGCGCAGCCUGGGGUGGGAGAUGUUACUUGCUGGCCCUCGUCAAAGCCUAUUUGCAACUCUUCUACCUAUAGCUGCCUCACCCACAAGGCUAAAAGAAGUCAGUGCCAGCUUUGCCCAUCCUCCUGUCACCUAGGGGUGGGUGGCCAACAGACUCUUCCAGCCAGAGAAUAGGACGGAGAAGAUAGCGGGGAGUCUUCUGGGAAAGAUCGUACUUUUCUGGUGAGGGGGACAGACACAAUGGAAGCUUUUCCUUCAUUUUCCCUUCCAGCCCUGCACUGAACGCCGCGUUGGAACUUCUGCAGUCACAUGAUCACGAGGGAAGGAUCACACACAACACAAACAUUCCAGUCCGGACGCUGUUAAGUAGCUGAACCACUGCCCAAGCUGCCUGUUUCCAGAUUGCUUGUGCUAAGAGAUUUGCUACACUGAUUUGGGUUGUCUGUUACUUGCAGCUGAGUGCCUUCUUGACAGACUCAUAGCCCCAACCAGUUUUUUUAUUAGAGUCCUUGAGUAACUCGACAAGACAAAUUCCAGGACAGAACAUGCCCAUCAGUUCUCCAGAUAAGGACAGGCAACCUUGAUUAACAGUCUCCUCCAAGGGGCCAGCAUUGUGACACAGAGGAUUAAGCCACCACCUGUGAUGCUACCAUCCCACACAGGUAUCAGUUCAAGUCCCUGCUGUUCCACUUCUGAUCCAGCUCUCUGCUAAUGCGCCCUGGGAAGCAGUGAGAGAUGGCCCAAGUACUUAGGCCUCUCCUCCCAUGUGGGAGACCCGGAUGAAGCUCCUGGCUUCAGUGUAGCCCACCCCUCAUCCUUGCAGCUACUGGGGGAGUGAACCUGUGGAUGCAAGGUCUGUCUCUCUUUCUGCCUCUCCUUUUCCCUUUGUAAAUCUGCCUUUCAAAUAAAUACAUCUUAAAAAGUCUCCUCCAAGGUGAA